rnacentral:rRNA from 1 species
GACGAACGCUGGCGGCGUGCUUAACACAUGCAAGUCGAACGGAAAGGCCCUGCUUGCAGGGUACUCGAGUGGCGAACGGGUGAGUAACACGUGGGUGAUCUGCCCUGCACUUCGGGAUAAGCCUGGGAAACUGGGUCUAAUACCGGAUAGGAGCCAUUUUUAGUGUGAUGGUUGGAAAGUUUUUUCGGUGUAGGAUGAGCUCGCGGCCUAUCAGCUUGUUGGUGGGGUAAUGGCCUACCAAGGCGGCGACGGGUAGCCGGCCUGAGAGGGUGGACGGCCACAUUGGGACUGAGAUACGGCCCAGACUCCUACGGGAGGCAGCAGUGGGGAAUAUUGCACAAUGGGCGCAAGCCUGAUGCAGCGACGCCGCGUGGGGGAGGACGGCCUUCGGGUUGUAAACUCCUUUCGCUAGGGACGAAGCUUUUUGUGACGGUACCUAGAGAAGAAGCACCGGCUAACUACGUG